CCUACGGGCGGCAGCAGUAGGGAAUUUUCCACAAUGGGCGAAAGCCUGAUGGAGCAACGCCGCGUGGGUGAAGAAGGUCUUCGGAUCGUAAAACCCUGUUGUUAGAGAAGAAAGUGCGUGAGAGUAACUGUUCACGUUUCGACGGUAUCUAACCAGCAAGCCACGGCUAACUACGUGCCAGCAGCCGCGGUCAUACGUAGGUGGCAAGCGUUAUCCGGAUUUAUUGGGCGUAAAGGGAACGCAGGCGGUCUUUUAAGGCUGAUGGGAAAGCCUUCGGCUUAACCGGAGUAGUGCAUUGGAAACUGGGAGACUUGAGUGCAGAAGAGGAGAGUGGAACUCCAUGUGUAGCGGUGAAAUGCGUAGAUAUAUGGAAGAACACCAGUGGCGAAAGCGGCUCUCUGGUCUGUAACUGACGCUGAGGUUCGAAAGCGUGGGUAGCAAACAGGAUUAGAUACCCUUGUAGUC
rnacentral:rRNA from 1 species